CCUACGGGAGGCAGCAGUAGGGAAUCUUCCACAAUGGACGAAAGUCUGAUGGAGCAACGCCGCGUGAGUGAUGAAGGUUUUCGGAUCGUAAAACUCUGUUGUAAGGGAAGAACAAGUACGAGAGGGAAUGCUCGUACCUUGACGGUACCUUGCGAGAAAGCCACGGCUAACUACGUGCCGGCAGCCGCGGUAAUACGUAGGUGGCAAGCGUUGUCCGGAAUUAUUGGGCGUAAAGCGCGCGCAGGCGGCCUUUUAAGUCUGAUGUGAAAGCCCCCGGCUCAACCGGGGAGGGUCAUUGGAAACUGGAAGGCUUGAGUACAGAAGAGAAGAGUGGAAUUCCAUGUGUAGCGGUGAAAUGCGUAGAGAUGUGGAGGAACACCAGUGGCGAAGGCGACUCUUUGGUCUGUAACUGACGCUGAGGCGCGAAAGCGUGGGGAGCAAACAGGAUUAGAUACCCUGGUAGUCCACGCCGUAAACGAUGAGUGCUAGGUGUUGGGGGGUUUCCGCCCCUCAGUGCUGAGACUACGACAUAAGUACACUCCGCCGUCGGGAGGUACGGCCGCGACGGCGNGAACGUACGAAAGGAAGUUAGACGGCGUGAGACGUGACCGACGGACGACGACGAGGGAGGAGG
rnacentral:rRNA from 1 species